ensembl:miRNA
CGACUCGUGGUUCCUUUUUCCUAUGCAUAUACUUCUUUGAGGAUCUGGCCUAAAGAGGUAUAGGGCAUGGGAAAAUGGCACGACGAGGGUCCCC